ACACACACACUCAUUUCCCACACUCUCCCACUGGACUUCACUCCAAACCACCAUCUCACCAUCAUUUUUCAGCAAUGUCACCGGAAAAUCCUUAAGAACCCAUAAGCACCUUCACAUCCUUUUUUUGAGGUUUGCUUGAUAUUGUUGAGGUUCUAGCUAAUCUCCUUUGGAGCUUGGAGAAUUAGGCUUUUGCGGGUUGCAAGGUAAGUAGCUUUUUAAUGGGAUUUUUGGAAAAUAACCAUGUUUUAUAAAUGUUGUUUUUGGGUCAAACACAUUUUGGAAAAUUAUAAAUGAAUAUAUGUUUUCUUAAAAGUAUUGUGUUGUGACCCUAUUAUAUAUUAUUAUAUAUGAAAAGUGCAUCAUAUUUGGUAUUGCAUUUGGGGAAAUGCAUGAAUUGUUGAUAUGGAAAAAUGAGCAUCUUUUAUUUAAUCUUUGAUAAGAAAAUCAUUGAUUUUAUGGUAUAUUGAAAAAUUUAAAGAUGCUUAUCUUGUCUUGUAUUAUUUGGGAAAUUGAUAGAAAAUCUCUUGACAAGAAUGAAGUUGAAAACUUUACAAACUUUGUAGAAGUUAGAAAUUUUAAGGUUUUUCUGAAACUACCUAGAUAUGAACUAUGUUUCAAAGUAAUGUAACCUGUGAGUUGUUUUAAUACCAUACCAUGUGUGAUUUCCUGGUGAUCACCCGAUUUGGUUUUCGUAGUCUUUGUGACAAUGGAAUCAAAUCUAGGUCAGUGCCCUUUCACUUUGGAUGACGGGUUCUUCCCUACUGCCCAUGGGGGGAAGAGGUUCCUUGAUUAUGUGUGGGUGAGGUUGCUACCCAUGGGGCCAAGAGACCACAUGCAAGAGAGGUCCUAUUUGACGCGCUCUCUCUGUUGCCCAUGGGGGGAGAGAAAAACCUUGAGGGUAUGGGUGAGGCUGCUGUCCAUGGGGCCAAGAGUUUGCAUACCAGAUAGGACAAUAUCAUGCCAGUUGUGAAUGGAUGGAUCCCCUGACCGGUCUAUGUGGUAGUAUGAUAUAUUUGAGAUAAAUUACCGUAUGUUAGAUUUUAUGACUUUGGAAUUAUAUUAUUAGUGCUCACAGAUUAUAGUGUAUAGUUUCAAGGUAUCUACUUUGAUAAACUUUGUGUUUCAUUAUUUAAUAAUUCUUGUCAUGUCAUAUUACCCCACCCCCAUUAAUUAUGCUACUUACUGUGCAUUAGCUCAUCCCCCUUUCUAACAGUUUUUCAAAUUUAUUAGCUAUACCUUGGGUAUGGAGCUUACUUCUUUGGUGAUGAUUAGAGUGUUAUGUUAAAUUUUGAGAUUUUUGCUGUAAAUGGUUGGUGACUUGAUCUUGCUAUGUUCAACGAGACCUUAAUUAAUUCUAUUGGAGGUGGAUCGCUUGAGGUUUGUUAGCCCUUGGCAUGCUAAGCCUAGACUUGAUGUUAAGGUCCUUAUUCUCGAUAAGAUUGUGACUUUGUGUAAUUUAAUCAGAUUUUUGUAAUAUAUUCAUGUAUUAUGUGGAGACACAUGAUUUUUGGUUAUUGUUCAUUAAUGUGUUAUAGA